AUAACAGUGAGAAAUCAUUGCUAAUACCGCAUAUGCCAUGAACAUCACAUGAUGAAAAUGGGAAAAGAGUAAUCUGCUAGUAGAUGGGCUCGCGUCUGAUUAGAUAGUUGGUGGGGUAACGGCCUACCAAGUCGACGAUCAGUAGCCGGACUGAGAGGUUGAACGGCCACAUUGGGACUGAGAUACGGCCCAGACUCCUACGGGAGGCAGCAGCCGGGAAUACUGCGCAAUGGAGGAAACUCUGACGCAGUGACGCCGCGUAUAGGAAGAAGGUUUUCGGAUUGUAAACUAUUGUCGUUAGGGAAGAUACAAGACAGUACCUAAGGAGGAAGCUCCGGCUAACUACGUGCCAGCAGCCGCGGUAAUACGUAGGGAGCAAGCGUUAUCCGGAUUUAUUGGGUGUAAAGGGUGCGUAGACGGGACAACAAGUUAGUUGUGAAAUCCCUCGGCUUAACUGAGGAACUGCAACUAAAACUAUUGUUCUUGAGUGUUGGAGAGGAAAGUGGAAUUCCUAGUGUAGCGGUGAAAUGCGUAGAUAUUAGGAGGAACACCGGUGGCGAAGGCGACUUUCUGGACAAUAACUGACGUUGAGGCACGAAAGUGUGGGGAGCAAACAGGAUUAGAUACCCUGGUAGUCCACACCGUAAAC
rnacentral:rRNA from 1 species